UAAAUGUAAAUUUAACAGUUGCACGUUCAACACUAGAGUUUCAGUAAUCACUAUGGAUUUGACUGAAAAACAUGUCAUGACCACAGACCUUUCAUCAUGGUUCCCUUUUGUUUAUAGAACCUUCAAGAAGAAGGUAGCAACACAGACAUGAUGCUGCUCAUUGUUAUUACAUAUAGUUUUA